GACGAACCGUGCGAACGUUGUUCGGAAUCACUGGGCUUAAAGGGCGCGUAGGCGGGCCUCCCAGUCCGGGGUGAAAGCUUUCGGCUUAACCGGAAAAGUGCCUUGGAUACUGGAGGUCUGGAGGGAGGUAGGGGCAGUCGGAACUUCCGGUGGAGCGGUGAAAUGCGUUGAUAUCGGAAGGAACGCCGGUGGCGAAAGCGGACUGCUGGACCUUUUCUGACGCUGAGGCGCGAAAGCCAGGGGAGCGAACGGG
rnacentral:rRNA from 1 species